UACAGAGCGGCGAGAGACAGCCAGAGCCAACAGGAACGGAGUGAGAGGUUCUCCGACCAAUGGGAGUCUAGGGAGAGGAGACGGGAGCCAAUGAGGUCUCCGCGUCCCACCACUGGGGCGAGAUGGUCAAGUGUGGGAGGCAAGUUGGUCCCCACUUGGGACUCUGUCCGGUUGCCUAGCAACCGAGCCGGGCUUCUGUAAGAUUUUUGAAAUACCUUCUUUGAAUUCAAUCUUAACGUUUUCUAGUUUCCAGAGAAGCCAAGCGCGCCUACCUUACAAGUUGAAGCAGGAUGUCACUCAGAAUUUGUAAAUGUGUAAAUAUUCUAAACACCCUAUUUGAUGGUCUUCCCAGUAGGAGUGAAGAUAAGCCAAGGCCAUGAAACUACCAAUGAACUUUACCCACGCCACAUUAAGACUGGCUUUGCCAAUGGCUCAAGAAUACUUGAUACAUAAUCCACUCCUAAUCGCUUCUUCUGUGACUCAUUCUUAAUUAGACAUGGUUUGCAUUUGUA